rnacentral:lncRNA from 1 species
CCAGUUCUCAAAAAUCCGACUAAGUUGAAUCGGCCAAGAUUUGAAGAAUCAAGCAGAUUCAAUAGAAAAUUUGUCGAUUCACAGCAGCAAACAGGCAGCACCAUGUCCACAGUCUCAAUUCCCCGAGCCGGGACCCUACAUAAGCAACCCGGCACUAGUAUCUAAUGACUCGGGCGAUUCCAUGUGCCGUCGUCCGAGUUUUGUAACCCAGCCAUUUCACACCUUUAUACAUUG